rnacentral:antisense_RNA from 1 species
ACAAAACCCGGAAGGACCCAGCCGAAGGUUUUCUCCGGUUCGGGCAAGAGACGGGGUCCCGCUCUGUCACCCAGGCUGCCAGACUGGCGUACAGUGGUGCAAUCUCAGCUCACUGCAACCUGCACCUCCUGGGUUCAAGUGAUUUUCUUGUCUCUGCCUCCUGAGUAGCUGGGAUUACUGGCACACACCACCAUGCACUGUUCCUUGUUCAAAAUGCCAAGAACCUGGAUGACUCAGAGUCAAGACCCUCCACCAGUAACAUAUAUUGGCGAGCCAGCCAGGAGCUUGGAACCCUCGGUGGACAGUGCCUAAGCACAGAGGCAACCACAGGUUUCUAACCAGGGCCACUCUCCGGUGAAACUGAAAGGUUUCUGUGUGAAAGUGCCUGACCACCACUGCCCGGUUCGGACCACUACAGGAAACACUCCAUUU